UAGCUCAGUGGUAAAGAAUCUGCUUGCAAUGCAGGAAACAGGAGAUGCAGGUUCAACUCCUGC
rnacentral:tRNA from 1 species